rnacentral:sRNA from 2 species
ACGAGUCAUGAGGCAUUCCGGGGCAGGGACGGGGGAACCACUAUCGGUCCUCGACCGGCACGCCGCCCGCGGCGGCCGGAGAGUUGAGGACCUCGGGGUGAAGCCGCCGACGUGCGGCCGGGCAUACCUUCGCGCCCGAAUCCGACAGCUAACCUCGCAGGCGUGCCGGAGGGAUUCC